CUGGCGGCCAUUAAGACUGAAGUCUUCUGUUUAUCCACAGAACAGAUACAGCACAGGCAGUGGCAGUGCAAGAUUUUUUACACACGCAUUCCUGCCAAUGUGCCUCACCCCUGACCUGAUGGGGCAUCUGUAUAGGUGAGAGGAUAGCUCAGUCUCUAUGCCCUUUCAGCGCUUGACCUAU
ensembl:misc_RNA